rnacentral:rRNA from 1 species
UACGAAGGGGGCUAGCGUUGCUCGGAAUCACUGGGCGUAAAGCGCACGUAGGCGGAUUGCUAAGUCAGGGGUGAAAUCCUGGAGCUCAACUCCAGAACUGCCUUUGAUACUGGCGACCUUGAGUCCGGGAGAGGUGAGUGGAACUGCGAGUGUAGAGGUGAAAUUCGUAGAUAUUCGCAAGAACACCCGUGGCGAAGGCGGUUCUCUGGGACGGUACUGACGCUGAGACGCGAAAGCGUGGGGAGCAAACAGG